CGGGACGGGUGAGUAACGCGUGGGUAACCUGCCCUGUACAGGGGGAUAACAGUUAGAAAUGGCUGCUAAUACCGCAUAAGCGCACAGUGCCGCAUGGUACAGUGUGAAAAACUCCGGUGGUAUGAGAUGGACCCGCGUUGGAUUAGCUAGUUGGCAGGGUAACGGCUUACCAAGGCGACGAUCCAUAGCCGGCCUGAGAGGGUGGACGGCCACAUUGGGACUGAGACACGGCCCAG
rnacentral:rRNA from 1 species